GACGAACGCUGGCGGCGUGCCUAAUACAUGCAAGUCGAGCGGACUGAAUGGGAGCUUGCUCUUGUUCGGUCAGCGGCGGACGGGUGAGUAACACGUGGGCAACCUGCCCGCAAGACCGGGAUAACUCCGGGAAACCGGAGCUAAUACCGGAUAACACCGAAGACCGCAUGGUCUUUGGUUGAAAGGCGGCGCAAGCUGCCACUUGCGGAUGGGCCCGCGGCGCAUUAGCUAGUUGGUGAGGUAACGGCUCACCAAGGCGACGAUGCGUAGCCGGCCUGAGAGGGUGACCGGCCACACUGGGACUGAGACACGGCCCAGACUCCUACGGGAGGCAGCAGUAGGGAAUCUUCCGCGAUGGGCGAAAGCCUGACGGAGCGACGCCGCGUGAGCGAAGAAGGCCUUCGGGUCGUAAAGCUCUGUUGUGAGGGACGAAGGAGCGCCGUUUGAAGAAGGCGGCGCGGUGACGGUACCUCACGAGGAAGCCCCGGCUAACUACGUG
rnacentral:rRNA from 1 species